UGUUCAGAUUGUGUGGAGGGUUGCCAACUUUUCAACUUUUAAAUAGUAAAAUUCAAAAGUUAUGGUCGUUGUUCGAGGUUUGUAGAACAUGGAAUGAUUGGAUGAACAAAGAUGAAUGCACCUCAAAUCCUCUGUAUAUAAAAUGUUUGCAAAGGCUUAAUACUGUUCAUGAUGAACAAUACAUUUGCCACAUCAUUUGCUCUUUCUUUUCUGCCUCAUUUCACGCUUCCUUCUUUCACUUCCCUCUUUCCCUUUCUGCCUCUUGUCUUUUCUCCAUCUUUAUGGAUGAACAUCUCUAACCUCUAGUCUUACAAACUGCAGUGUUGCUUCACCAACAGCUUUCAAAACUCCAACAUCUUUCAAACUUCAGUGGAUUAUUGAUGAAGGAUUCGAAUCAACAAUCUUUUUUUUCCAGAAACAACAGAAUAAUGUAUAUAUCCAAGUGUACAAACGAGACGAUACAUCAUCCAGAAGGUUAACACAAAUCAAAUCUAUACGCCAUGUGACGGUGAGCUCUAUCUUCAGACUUCGCUCCGUGACACUUCUAUAACAUGUAAUCACAAUUAUGCACUGUUGAGUCUGUGACAUAAGCAAGUUUAGUUCCCAACUACGAAAGAUUUGCUCAGGAAAUCAACCAGGUAAGACUUCUGGGAAGAAGAAAAACACCAAUCAGAAACCACUAUGACAUCAUAUUUUAAAGCUUUAGAUCUUAACAGCAAAUGAAAUGAAGUAUGAUCUAUAAGACAAUCGAGUAACAUGAAGUACAAUAUUACAUUGCCCCAAUGUCUUUAAUUAACUCCCGAUUGAUUUGCAUCUUUUUUUUAAAAACGUAUACAUAAUGUAACCAAAUGAGUAGCCAAUAAUCAGUCUAACAUGAUUCGCCAACUAAUUAGUUUUUUCGAAUUUGCGAUUUGCUUACAUAAGCAAAAUGAUUUGAAUGCUUAUAAACAAAUAUAAAUCAUAUUCGUAAUGACUAUUGAUUUGUAAAGGAUUUACAGUCUUCUUUUAAGCUAUCUGUUGAGUUUCAGCUUCCUUUGUCCUUGUAGUACCCCACCUUCAAAUAAAUAUCAAGUUUGUUGUCCCAUAAUUUAUAUUCUUCAUUUAAUUAGUAUGUAAAGACUUUUUAGGAUGAUCCAUAUUUGUAAAUGUUAGUAACUUUAUCAAGAAUCAUGUAGCUGUUGUCCAUAAUUUAUAUACUUCAUUAAAUUUGGUUGUAUGUAAGGAUUUUUUCAGGAUGA